ensembl:rRNA 5S_rRNA 5S ribosomal RNA
GCCUACUGCCAUACCACCCUGAUCUUGGAAGCUAAUCAGGGUCCGGCCUGGUUAGUACUUGGAUGGGAGACCACCUGGGAAUACCGGUUGCUGUAGCAU